UGGGGAAUAUUGCACAAUGGGCGCAAGCCUGAUGCAGCCAUGCCGCGUGUAUGAAGAAGGCCUUCGGGUUGUAAAGUACUUUCAGCGGGGAGGAAGGUGUUGUGGUUAAUAACCACAGCAAUUGACGUUACCCGCAGAAGAAGCACCGGCUAACUCCGUGCCAGCAGCCGCGGUAAUACGGAGGGUGCAAGCGUUAAUGGGAAUUACUGGGCGUAAAGCGCACGCAGGCGGUCUGUCAAGUCGGAUGUGAAAUCCCCGGGCUCAACCUGGGAACUGCAUCCGAAACUGGCAGGCUUGAGUCUUGUAGAGGGGGGUAGAAUUCCAGGUGUAGCGGUGAAAUGCGUAGAGAUCUGGAGGAAUACCGGUGGCGAAGGCGGCCCCCUGGACAAAGACUGACGCUCAGGUGCGAAAGCGUGGGGAGCAAACA
rnacentral:rRNA from 1 species